AUUCGUUCUCACGGACGCUCCCGACCAGCCGCCCAUAGCCGCAAGCGGAGCCAUUUCAUUAACGCUCCUUUUGUGGCCGUUCGCGUUGGCUGCCGGCUACGUGGGCUGCGGCUCAGAGCGUUCUGGGCAGCCGCGAAUGGUUACGAACGGCCCCCUGGAGCAGAAAAGAGCGGCGAGAAGCAGAACUGUCAGCGCUGUGGUGCUCUGCGCCAACGUUCCGUUGGUCUGACCGCUUCGGGUCGAUGCCAUCCGAGAUUCAGCCUCAAGGUCCUCUCCUGCUCCCCUCCCCGAGGUCCCCGCAGGCUGCACUUUGGCCAAAUGGAAAUUAAAAAUGCAAAAGAGCAAUCGAUCCAUUCAAA